UAGGGAAUUUUCGUCAAUGGGCGCAAGCCUGAACGAGCGAUGCCGCGUGAGUGAAGAAGGCCUUCGGGUCGUAAAGCUCUGUUGCGGGGGAAAAAAGGCAGCAUCAGGAAAUGGGUGCUGACUGAUGGUGCCCCGCAGAAAGUCACGGCUAACUACGUGCC
rnacentral:rRNA from 1 species